UGCCGGACCACCUUUUCUCCACCUCCGGGGCCCGGUUUCACACGUUCAACGGUCGGGAUCCGUGUAUAGUACGACCGCUGGCUUUGCUGCCACUGAGGUUCUUCCACCUGUGGGGAGAAGACGCGAGGGGAAGUUUUGAAAGUGGUGAACAGCUGGAGUUCUGAAAACACCCAAACAGACGGGCUGCGGAGCUGAGAACAAACUGCCAGCCAGAGCGGAACGGUGCGGACUGCGGGACAGGAAGGUCACUGCCAAACAGAUGAAAGAGCCUCAGUGGCAGCUUCCUUGGGCUGUUGGAGUUAAAAGGCAACGGUCCACACAGGCUUGUCGAAAGCAACUGGAAUAACUGGACAUGGCAAAGUGAGGGGACUUUUCUUAAAAGUGUGUCUCAUAUUUUAAAUCUCAACGUUAGUCUCACAUGCUGUCAACUGCAGAAAUAAAUCUUAAAUGAGCCACGAUUUAUUCAUGUUUGUUAGGUUCCCAGGGAAAAUCCUUACCACAUCGUCCAACAGGAAAGCCUUUAAAAUAACACUCUCUUCCAUAUUU